rnacentral:lncRNA from 1 species
GCAAACAAAAUAAUCAAUUGUAAAUAUUUAGCAGCAUAAAAAGAAAAAAAUAGCUUGUUUGGUUUGAGUUUUUGUUUAUUUAUUUAUUUAUACAAAGUAGUUUCGAAAAGAGAUAUUAUUUUAUAUAAAAGAGAAAUAAGUUUUUUUUUUUAGUUAUUAAAAAGAAAGGAAUACAACACGAGAAAUAUGUUAACUUAAAUUUUUAUUUUUUUUAAAGUUUCUUUUAAUAGUAUAAUGCUCUUAAAAAUUAAGAACCGAUAUAAAAUUGCUUUAUCUUCUUCUUGUGGGG